CCUACGGGAGGCAGCAGUGAUGAAUAUUGGUCAAUGGGCGAGAGCCUGAACCAGCCAAGUCGCGUGAGGGAGUACUGCCCUAUGGGUUGUAAACCUCUUUUGUCGGGGAGCAAAAGCCGGACGUGUCCGGCUGUGAGAGUACCCGAAGAAAAAGCAUCGGCUAACUCCGUGCCAGCAGCCGCGGUAAUACGGAGGAUGCGAGCGUUAUCCGGAUUUAUUGGGGUUAAAGGGUGCGCAGGCGGAUUUUUAAGUCAGCGGUCAAAUCGUGGGGCUCAACCCCCUCCAGCCGUUGAAACUGGGGAUCUAGAGUGUGCGAGAGGUAUGCGGAAUGCGUGGUGUAGCGGUGAAAUGCAUAGAUAUCACGCAGAACCCCGAUUGCGAAGGCAGCAUACCGGUGCACAACUGACGCUCAGGCACGAAAGCGUGGGUAUCGAACAGGAUUAGAUACCCUUGUAGUC
rnacentral:rRNA from 1 species